GAGAGGGUGGCAUGGAGCAUGGCUCCCUUAGCAUUUUGGGGAGCCCCGGUUACAUGGACCAGGCCUCACAGAACCUGAUACACACCUGGAAUUUAGGGCUCCAGGUACCAUUUUCCUCGGGAAGGGCCAGAACUUUCCUUUUCAGACCAUUUUUAUAUUCUUCUCUCCGGAAUCCUUAGACCUCGGGCAUUCUGAGCAUAACCUAGGAGUCAGUGUGAUGACUUGGGUCAUUAGGGACGUCAGCUGUCGCACCUGUCGUGCGGGGCUCUGGCUCCUGGGGAGUGGAUCACUCUGGGUGUCCGGUCUUGUCUGCUCUGCACAGCCCUGCCCCUGUAAUGGUGUGGUCCUUUCUGUCGCUAAUUGCACUUAAAGCUGCCCCUCCUCUCCUCUGCGCCAGUGACCUUCGCCCCUGGCGAGCAGCAUGGAGCCUGCGAGAAAACAUGAUGUAGGCAGCGCCCCAGAGCGGUCGCGAACUACAGCCCGGGGCAGGGCCAGCCAGUUAGAGUGGCUUCAACAUCUCAAGUGGUUGGAAAAGUCCAAAGAAGAUUUCAUUUCCCAUGAAAAGUAUAUGAAAUUGAAAUGUCGGUGUGUAGAGUGCAGUGGAACUGCCCAGCUUUUACGGCCUUUUGUGGAGAGUUUGCUGACCGCCCGGGACCCCGAGGUGUCCUGUGACUCACCCUGGUUGCCCAGAGGCCUUUGGGUUCCUGACGGUGUCCUGGGCUCGGCUGAGGUGACCUGAGGGGGGCGGCCGGCCUGUGAAGGUUGGCUAGGAGGGCACCUGGCCCGUGUUGGCGAGGAGAGAACAGCUCCGCGAGGCACGGCGUGUCCCAUGGGGAGGGAGGGCGUGGUGGGAGCUGGCGGCCCUCGGCAGCAGGAAAGUGGAGCUGAAGUGAUGUUUGCUGUUUUUAAGGGAUUAACGUGUCUCCAGGUUGGUUUCCCGUGAACAUGUCGGUGUCGGGGGGAGUCCCUCUCCCUGGCGCAGGGAGGGGCUGUGUGCACGGGUCCCAGGCAGCGCGCACUGUUGCCAGACUCCUCCGCAGGGGGUGGGGCCGCCCAGGGCUCUGGAGGGGGGGAGGCCGAGUGCCCACCUCGCUGGUGGCGUGGGCAGCUCUGCUGUCUCCAGGGGCUGCUGUCAGGCUCGCGUCCCAAGGCAGCCGGUGGUCCUGUCCCCGAUCCAGCACCUCCACUCUGAGCAGCCCGGCACUGUCCCCACCUGUCCCCUCAGGAAGGGCCAGUCACCCGGCCUUCAGGCAUCCCCGUCAGCUGUCGGGACACGUGUCCUGUCCUGGUGCCUUGACCGCUAACCUGCCCUUCAGACUCGCUGUCUCUGGGGUAAAGCCUGCCCCCCGUGUGACAAGGCUGAUGGACCAUGUCCACGGCGCGUGGCUUCCCGGCUUCUCCCCGCGGCGACCGUCUUCCCGAACCCCCGGAGAAAGGGCCCCUCCGCACACCCCUGCGCACCCUGGGCCCGGUGUGGCGUUAUUUCCCGCGGAGCUGUGAGCCUGCUGUGCACCCGGCACAGGACCAGACACCGUGAGACCAUUAAACUGUCUCUUAACCUUUGCUUGCGUUCUAGGUGACUGAGAGCUUGGCCUCACACACAGACUUCACUAGUUAUGAUUCAACACGUCCAACAGAAGCCAUCCCCAACCCAGCUUCCAUUAUAAACAUAGAAAAUAACUUUGUUCAGAUCUGCGUGGUGCUUCUUUAGUAAAUACUGUACAGAUUUUACCAUGGAGAACUUCUUUUUUAGUUUUUACCUUUUCUUAAUUACCCUUAUUCCAAAUGGACGAACACUUUCUACAACUGCUGAGCACUGUAAGAUACAUGUAUAUAAAUCACAUUAAAAGUGACGCCCUGGACUAGAACAUCUCAAUGCUGCUUAAUCACAGACUCAGGUUGAUCUCUCGUAUUCCAUGUAAUGCUCCUCCAAUCAGACCUCCGGGCAAGGCCAGCGGGACCCUGGAUUGUUCACGUGCAAACAGCCGACAGUGCGCAUAUUUAAUUUAAAGACUAUUUAAGCUCCACGAGCUCUCAGCUCACUCGAGAGCAGUGUUCUCUGUAAUGUCUGAUACUAGAAACGAACGUGCUUCAUGUUUCAGUUUAUUCAAGAUUGGAAGGUGUAUUUUAUAGACAAGUUCUGUUUUUGAACUUUGUGGAACUAUUCCAAUCAACUUACCAGUUAUGAUGAGUAUUUACAUUAUGAAUGUAUAAUCCAGACAUUAUUUGUAAAGCCUACAGUACGUUUUUUAUUACAUAACACUUUUUAUACAGUUUCUCUUGUCUUGACUAUGAUAUUGGAGUCUGAGUUAUCAGCUUGGUCCCUGAAAAGUUUCUAGUUACAGACAAAUCAUACUGUGAUUUUAUUUUUAAUAUGGAUAUGCUAUCAAACUGUGAUACACUUAUAAUUCACUGGUCCUGCAUCAGGAGACGGCGUGGGGACAACUGUAUUUAAUACAGUUCGUAUCUGAAUAAUCUGUAUGGUUUAUACAGUUUGUGUUGUUCAGAGAUGUCUAAAGUUUGAUCUUUGUUUUUUUAAAGAUUAAAAAAGCACUUGCCCCACUGUAAAUAUACAGCAUGUAAAAUUUAUAUAGUAUAUAAAUGGCAGCAAAUUAAACAUUUGUGUCUUCUUUUUUA